rnacentral:piRNA from 1 species
UAUCAAGGAAGAAUGCUGUGCAGGAGA